GAACAACUUGCCACGAUUGCCAAAGAACAUGGUGGUAUCUUGAGAUUUAUACAAGUUUCCUGCCUGGGUGCAUCUUCAUCAUCUCCAUCCAGAUUUCUGAGAGCUAAAGCUGCUGCUGAGGAAUCUGUUUUAAAGGCAUUCCCUGAGGCAACAAUUCUGAGACCUGCAGCUAUGAUUGGUACAGAGGACCGUAUUAUGAAUACUUGGGCACAUUUUGCUAAAAAAUAUGGCUUCA
rnacentral:misc_RNA from 1 species